rnacentral:rRNA from 1 species
UACGGAGGGUGCGAGCGUUGUCCGGAAUCAUUGGGCGUAAAGGGCGCGUAGGUGGCCACUUCAAGCGUGCGGUGAAAGUCGGGGGCUCAACCCCUGAUCGGCCGUGCGGAACUGGGGGGCUGGAGCACUGUAGAGGCAGGCGGAAUUCCGGGUGUAGCGGUGGAAUGCGUAGAGAGUCCGGAAGAACGACCGGUGGCGAAGGCGGCCUGCUGGGCAGUUUUGCUGACACUGAGGCGCGACAGCGUGGGGAGCAAACAGG